GUGGGGAAUAUUGGACAAUGGGCGCAAGCCUGAUCCAGCCAUGCCGCGUGAGUGAUGAAGGCCCUAGGGUUGUAAAGCUCUUUCAGUGGGUACGAUAAUGACGGUACCCACAGAAGAAGCCCCGGCUAACUUCGUGCCAGCAGCCGCGGUAAUACGAAGGGGGCUAGCGUUGUUCGGAUUUACUGGGCGUAAAGCGCACGUAGGCGGAUCGUUAAGUCGAGGGUGAAAUCCUGGAGCUCAACUCCAGAACUGCCUUCGAUACUGGCGAUCUUGAGUCCGGGAGAGGUGAGUGGAACUCCUAGUGUAGAGGUGGAAUUCGUAGAUAUUAGGAAGAACACCAGUGGCGAAGGCGGCUCACUGGUCCGGUACUGACGCUGAGGUGCGAAAGCGUGGGGAGCAAACAGGAUUAGAAACCCCGGUAGUCC
rnacentral:rRNA from 1 species